GACGAACGCUGGCGGCGUGCUUAACACAUGCCAGUCGAACGGAAAGGCCCUGCUUUUGUGGGGUGCUCGAGUGGCGAACGGGUGAGUAACACGUGAGUAACCUGCCCUUGACUUUGGGAUAACUUCAGGAAACUGGGGCUAAUACCGGAUAGGAGCUCCUGCUGCAUGGUGGGGGUUGGAAAGUUUCGGCGGUUGGGGAUGGAUUCGCGGCUUAUCAGCUUGUUGGUGGGGUAGUGGCUUACCAAGGCUUUGACGGGUAGCCGGCCUGAGAGGGUGACCGGCCACAUUGGGACUGAGAUACGGCCCAGACUCCUACGGGAGGCAGCAGUGGGGAAUAUUGCACAAUGGGCGGAAGCCUGAUGCAGCAACGCCGCGUGCGGGAUGACGGCCUUCGGGUUGUAAACCGCUUUCGCCUGUGACGAAGCGUGAGUGACGGUAAUGGGUAAAGAAGCACCGGCUAACUACGUG
rnacentral:rRNA from 1 species